rnacentral:rRNA from 1 species
GACGAACGCUGGCGGCGUGCUUAACACAUGCAAGUCGAACGGAAAGGCCCUGCUUUUGUGGGGUGCUCGAGUGGCGAACGGGUGAGUAACACGUGAGUAACCUGCCCUUGACUUUGGGAUAACUUCAGGAAACUGGGGCUAAUACCGGAUAGGAGCUCCUGCUGCAUGUUGGGGGUUGGAAAGUUUCGGCGGUUGGGGCUGGACUCGCGGCUUAUCAGCUUGUUGGUGGGGUAGUGGCUUACCAAGGCUUUGACGGGUAGCCGGCCUGAGAGGGUGACCGGCCACAUUGGGACUGAGAUACGGCGCAGACUCCUACGGGAGGCAGCAGUGGGGAAUAUUGCACAAUGGGCGGAAGCCUGAUGCAGCAACGCCGCGUGCGGGAUGACGGCCUUCGGGUUGUAAACCGCUUUCGCCUGUGACGAAGCGUGAGUGACGGUAAUGGGUAAAGAAGCACCGGCUAACUACGUG